GAAAGAUCAAGCCAUUUCCAUUAAUUAGCAAUUUAGCAUCCAUAAAAAUAAGUACACCCAUUAUCGGUUUUUUUUUUUAAUUUCUACAUAAUUUUACACAAUAAUUAUAUUAAUUAAUAUGUUGUCUUCCUCAAAGCUCAUUAUGUAAAAUAUUAGUGGGGGCAUCAAUGGAGUUGGUGAUGGACUAAUUAUGGCACUCUAUAUUUCUCUCUCUGUAGCCAUUAAUAGUGUCUCUCUCUCUCUUUCUCUCUCCAUUUGACGGAGGAAAAAACCGAUAACUACUUUUCCACUCAGUCGCAUUCCAUUUUUCAAUUUGAAUCGAUCAAUUCCUUUACCAUUUCGAUUUCAACCCCAUUUUUCUUUCAUUUCUUCAUAUAAUGAGUGAAUCCCAGGAGAAUUUCGCUCUUCAAGAUAAAACGCUUAGUCUCAUUGAUGUCUCCUUCGAGGACGAUUGCCUCUAUAAUUCUCCUUCUCGUGAUCCUCAACUUCCCCAUUUUUCAGAGAAUCAGACAGAGCACAGAACUGUUCACUUGGUGGGUGUGCGAGCCCCUGAAGACUCUAAUGAAGGAGAUGAACAAGUCAUUCAACCACUUGAAUCAGCAGAACAAGAAAAGACGAGAAAAAAUGAAAAGUACAACUUG
rnacentral:misc_RNA from 1 species